rnacentral:rRNA from 1 species
CAGUCGCCGCGGGAACACGGAGGAUCCAAGCGUUAUCCGGAAUCAUUGGGUUUAAAGGGUCCGUAGGCGGUCUUGUAAGUCAGUGGUGAAAGCCCAUCGCUCAACGGUGGAACGGCCAUUGAUACUGCAGGACUUGAAUUAUUGGGAAGUAACUAGAAUAUGUAGUGUAGCGGUGAAAUGCUUAGAGAUUACAUGGAAUACCAAUUGCGAAGGCAGGUUACUACCAAUUGAUUGACGCUGAUGGACGAAAGCGUGGGUAGCGAACAGGAUUAGAUACCCCCGUAGUCCCUGUCUCUUAUAC